rnacentral:rRNA from 1 species
AACGAACGCUGGCGGCAUGCCUAACACAUGCAAGUCGAACGAAGUCUUCGGACUUAGUGGCGCACGGGUGCGUAACGCGUGGGAAUCUGCCCUUGGGUGCGGAAUAACUUCUCGAAAGGGAUGCUAAUACCGCAUAAUGUCGUAAGACCAAAGAUUUAUCGCCCAGGGAUGAGCCCGCGUAGGAUUAGCUAGUUGGUGAGGUAAAGGCUCACCAAGGCGACGAUCCUUAGCUGGUCUGAGAGGAUGAUCAGCCACACUGGGACUGAGACACGGCCCAGACUCCUACGGGAGGCAGCAGUAGGGAAUAUUGGUCAAUGGAUGCAAGUCUGAACCAGCCAUGCCGCGUGCAGUAAGAAGGCCUUCUGGGUUGUAAACUGCUUUUGCCAGGGGGAUAAAAAUUUCCAUGCGUGGAAAACUGAAGGUACCUGGUGAAUAAGCCACGGCUAACUACGUGCCAGCAGCCGCGGU